rnacentral:rRNA from 1 species
UAAUACGUAGGUGGCAAGCGUUGUCCGGAUUUACUGGGCGUAAAGGAUGCGUAGGUGGAUAUUUAAGUGGGAUGUGAAAUACCCGGGCUCAACUCGGGUGCUGCAUUCCAAACUGGAUAUCUAGAGUGCAGGAGAGGUAAGUGGAAUUCCUAGUGUAGCGGUGAAAUGCGUAGAGAUUAGGAAGAACACCAGUGGCGAAGGCGACUUACUGGACUGUAACUGACACUGAGGCAUGAAAGCGUGGGGAGCAAACAGGAUUAGAUACCCUGGUAGUCCACGCCGUAAACGAUGGGUACUAGGUGUGGGAGGUAUCGACCCCUUCCGUGCCGCCGUUAACACAAUAAGUACCCCGCCUGGGGAGUACGGUCGCAAGAUUA